AGAACGAACGCUGGCGGCAGGCUUAACACAUGCAAGUCGAACGGUUGUAGCAAUACAGCAGUGGCAGACGGGUGAGUAACACGUGGGAACCUUCCUAGGGGUACGGAACAACUCAGGGAAACUUGAGCUAAUACCGUAUACGUCCGUGAGGAGAAAGAUUUAUCGCCCCUAGACGGGCCCGCGUAGGAUUAGGUAGUUGGUGAGGUAACGGCUCACCAAGCCUACGAUCCUUAGCUGAUCUGAGAGGAUGAUCAGCCACACUGGGACUGAGACACGGCCCAGACUCCUACGGGAGGCAGCAGUGGGGAAUCUUGGACAAUGGGCGCAAGCCUGAUCCAGCCAUGCCGCGUGAGUGAUGAAGGCCUUAGGGUGUAAAGCUCUUUUACCCGGGAAGAUAAUGACGGUACCGGAGAAUAAGCCCGGCUAACUUCGUGCCAGCAGCCGC
rnacentral:rRNA from 1 species